CAGUCGCCACGGGAAUACGUAGGUGGCAAGCGUUGUCCGGAAUUAUUGGGCGUAAAGGGCUCGCAGGCGGUUUCUUAAGUCUGAUGUGAAAGCCCCCGGCUCAACCGGGGAGGGUCAUUGGAAACUGGGAAACUUGAGUGCAGAAGAGGAGAGUGGAAUUCCACGUGUAGCGGUGAAAUGCGUAGAGAUGUGGAGGAGCACCAGUGGCGAAGGCGACUCUCUGGUCUGUAACUGACGCUGAGGAGCGAAAGCGUGGGGAGCGAACAGGAUUAGAUACCCCAGUAGUCCCUGUCUCUUAUAC
rnacentral:rRNA from 1 species